GAGAGUACAAUUGCUAGCACCUGGUAAUUUUUAGUUAAAAAAUGGGUACAGAAAAAAAGAGCAGUAUGGUGAAGAAGAAGAAGAAGAGUAAUCAUAUUGGGUCCAUAAGAUCAAUUUUCAUGCAUGCAGACCUUGUAGAUUGGUUGUUGAUGGUUCUUGGGUUCAUUGGAUCCGUCGGUGAUGGUUUCUCCACCCCGCUUGUUUUGUUUGUGACUAGCAAAUUGAUGAACAAUCUCGGUGGUGCAUCUUCUAGCCAGAGUGAUUUCUCUCACAACAUUAAUAAGAAUGCACUGGCGCUCUGUUACGUGGCUUGUGUACAAUGGGUUGUUUGUUUCCUUGAGGGGUAUUGUUGGACAAGGACAGGAGAGAGGCAAGCUACCAGAUUGAGAGCAAGGUAUUUGAAAGCAGUGCUGAGACAAGAAGUGGGUUAUUUUGAUUUGCAUGUAACCAGUACAGCAGAGGUCAUCACAAGUGUCUCUAAUGAUAGCCUUGUAAUUCAAGAUGUUCUAAGCGAGAAGGUGCCAAACUUUUUGAUGAACGCUUCCAUGUUCUUUGGUUGCUAUCUUGUGGGGUUCUUGAUGCUUUGGAGACUAGCAAUCGUGGGGUUUCCUUUCAUUGUCAUUUUGGUAAUCCCUGGUCUAAUGUAUGGGAGGACUUUGAUGGGAUUGGCAAGAAAGAUCAGGGAAGAAUACAACAAAGCAGGUACAAUUGCAGAGCAGGCAAUAUCUUCCAUCAGGACUGUGUAUGCCUUUGUUGGGGAAUCCAAAACCAUAGCUGCAUAUUCUGCAGCUCUUGACUUUUCGGUGAAAUUGGGGCUCAAGCAGGGCCUGGCUAAGGGCUUGGCCAUCGGCAGUAAUGGUGUUGUCUUUGCUAUUUGGUCUUUUAUGUCUUAUUAUGGCAGCAGAAUGGUUAUGUAUCAUAAUGCUCGUGGAGGGACUGUUUUCGCUGUUGGUGCCUCAAUUGCUGUGGGUGGAUUAGCCCUUGGUGCUGGCUUGUCCAACGUGAAGUACUUCUCAGAAGCAUGUGCAGCAGGAGAACGGAUCAUGGAAGUGAUAAGAAGAGUCCCCAAAAUAGAUCUAGAGAACAUGGAGGGUGAAAUAUUGGAAAAUGUGAGAGGUGAAGUAGAAUUCAAGCAUGCAGAAUUUGCAUACCCAUCAAGGCCAGAAAGCAUAAUCUUCAAUGAUUUUAGCCUAAAAAUACCAGCCGGAAGAACUGUUGCCUUGGUGGGGGGUAGUGGGUCAGGCAAAUCAACAGUAAUAGCACUGUUGCAAAGAUUUUAUGACCCACUUGGUGGGGAAAUACUUCUUGAUGGGGUGACCAUUGACAAGUUGCAACUCAAGUGGCUAAGGUCACAGAUGGGUUUGGUGAGCCAAGAACCAGCACUAUUUGCAACCAGCAUUAAGGAGAACAUACUUUUUGGCAAAGAAGAUGCCGCAAUAGAAGAGAUUGUUGAAGCUGCCAAAGCUUCUAAUGUUCAUAAUUUCAUAUGUCAGUUGCCUCAGGGGUAUGACACCCAGGUUGGCGAGCGAGGAGUUCAAAUGUCAGGAGGACAAAAACAAAGAAUUGCUAUUGCAAGAGCAAUAAUCAAAGCGCCAAGAAUCCUCCUCCUUGACGAGGCAACAAGUGCGUUAGACUCGGAAUCCGAACGCAUUGUCCAAGAGGCACUAGAUAAAGCCGCUGUUGGCCGCACCUCCAUCGUCAUAGCUCACCGUCUCUCCACCAUCCGAAACGCCGACAUAAUUGCCGUGGUCCAAGAUGGCCAGGUGAUGGAAACAGGUUCUCACCAUGAAUUAAUGGAAAUUGAAGAUGGACCAUACGCAACCUUAGUCCGUCUUCAACAAAGAGAAAAAGAAAAAACCAAUGAAGAUGAUCAAUAUCAUUUACCCUCUUCAUCUUUAAUCUCGAAAAUGGACAUGAAUAAUACUAGCAGUCGCAGGUUAUCAAUGGUGAGUAGGUCGAGUUCUGCCAAUUCAAUGGCUCCAAGUCGAGGUUCGAUCACCGGAGAAAAUAUACAAUUAGAGGAGCAAAAAUUUCCAUUACCCUCAUUCCGUAGACUGCUAGCUUUGAACUUGCCAGAAUGGAAACAAGCAAGCUUUGGGUGCUUAGGUGCAAUUUUAUUUGGUGGGGUUCAACCCUUAUAUGCAUUUGCAAUGGGGUCAAUGAUAUCUAUAUAUUUUUACACUGAUCAUGAUGAGAUUAAGAAGCAGAUAAGGAUUUACUCAUUAUGCUUUCUGGGGCUCGCAAUAUUCUCAAUGAUCGUUAACAUUGUUCAGCACUAUAAUUUUGCAUACAUGGGUGAGUACUUGACCAAGAGGAUAAGAGAGAGGAUGCUUUCACAGAUACUGACUUUUGAAGUUGGGUGGUUUGAUCAAGAUGAGAAUUCAAGUGGUGCAAUUUGCUCCAGACUUGCCAAAGAUGCCAAUGUGGUNAUGUAUUUUUAAUUUAUACGUGCUAAUCUUAUUUGUAUUUAUUAUAGUAUCACCAUUGAAUUGAGAUCUCUAGUGGGUGACCGAAUGGCUCUUGUAGUACAAACAGUAUCAGCUGUAACCAUAGCCUGCACAAUGGGCCUUGUCAUUGCCUGGAGGCUUGCUGUUGUGAUGAUAGCAGUCCAACCUCUCAUCAUUGUCUGUUUUUACACCAGACGUGUUCUGCUCAAAAGCAUGUCCCAGAAGGCCAUCAAAGCCCAUAGAUGAAAGCACCAAGGUCGCAGCAGAAGCAGUGUCCAAUCUCCGAACCAUCACUGCCUUCUCCUCCCAAGAUCGAAUUCUUCGAAUGCUCGAAAAAGCCCAAGAAGGCCCACAGAGAGAAAGCAUUAGACAAUCCUUGUUUGCAGGAGUUGGACUCGGCACCUCUCAAAGCCUAAUGUCGUGCACUUGGGCUCUUGAUUUUUGGUAUGGUGGAAGGCUUAUUGCCGAAGGGUAUAUCUCUGCUAAAGCCUUAUUUGAGACGUUCAUGGUUUUGGUAAGCACAGGCCGUGUCAUAGCCGAUGCUGGAAGCAUGACCACUGACCUAGCCAAGGGCUCGGAUGCUGUUGGUUCAGUCUUCACCGUGUUGGACCGGUACACGAAAAUUGAGCCUGAAGACUCUGAUGGGUUCAAGCCUGAAACGAUAAUGGGCAAUGUAGAGCUUCGAGAUGUGGACUUUGCAUACCCAGCUAGGCCUGAAGUGAUCAUAUUCAAAGGCUUCUCAAUCAACAUUGAGGCAGGGAAAUCAACGGCGUUGGUGGGACAAAGUGGAUCCGGAAAAUCGACCAUCAUUGGAUUAAUCGAGAGAUUUUAUGAUCCAAUUAGGGGGACGGUGAAAAUAGACGGUCGAGACAUCAAGUCAUAUCAUUUGAGAUCAUUGAGGAAGUAUAUAGCUCUGGUCAGCCAAGAGCCCACAUUAUUUGCUGGGACCAUAAGGGAAAACAUUGUGUACGGUGCACCAAAUAAAAACGAUGAAUCAGAGAUCAUCGACGCAGCAAAGGCAGCCAACGCUCAUGAUUUCAUUGCAGGAUUGAAAGAUGGAUAUGACACGUGGUGUGGGGAUAGGGGAGUGCAGCUAUCAGGUGGACAGAAGCAGCGUAUUGCAAUAGCCCGUGCAAUACUGAAAAAUCCUGCAGUGUUACUAUUGGACGAGGCAACCAGCGCGCUUGAUAGUCAGUCAGAGAAGGUAGUGCAAGACGCGUUACAGCGCGUGAUGGUUGGGAGAACAAGUGUUGUUGUGGCACAUAGGCUAAGUACUAUACAGAACUGUGAUCUUAUUGCCGUUUUAGAUAAAGGGCAGAUGGUGGAGCAAGGGACUCACUCGUCCUUGUUGGCAAGGGGACCUACAGGAGCUUACUUCUCAUUGGUAAGCCUUCAAAGGACCCCACAUAACAGCAACAGCGCUACUAGCCGUACAUUCAAUUGAGUGGAUGUAUGGAGUUUUUUUU
rnacentral:misc_RNA from 1 species